GAUGAACGCUGGCGGCGUGCCUAAUACAUGCAAGUCGAGCGAAUGGAUUAAGAGCUUGCUCUUAUGAAGUUAGCGGCGGACGGGUGAGUAACACGUGGGUAACCUGCCCAUAAGACUGGGAUAACUCCGGGAAACCGGGGCUAAUACCGGAUAACAUUUCGAACCGCAUGGUUCGAAAUUGAAAGGCGGCUUCGGCUGUCACUUAGGGAUGGACCCGCGUCGCAUUAGCUAGUUGGUGAGGUAACGGCUCACCAAGGCAACGAUGCGUAGCCGACCUGAGAGGGUGAUCGGCCACACUGGGACUGAGACACGGCCCAGACUCCUACGGGAGGCAGCAGUAGGGAAUCUUCCGCAAUGGACGAAAGUCUGACGGAGCAACGCCGCGUGAGUGAUGAAGGCUUUCGGGUCGUAAAACUCUGUUGUUAGGGAGGAACAAGUGCUAGUUGAAUAAGCCGGCACCUUGACGGUACCUAACCAGAAAGCCACGGCUAACUACGUGCCAGCAGCCGCAGUAA
rnacentral:rRNA from 1 species